rnacentral:rRNA from 1 species
GCAAGUCGAGCGAACAGAUAAGGAGCUUGCUCCUUUGACGUUAGCGGCGGACGGGUGAGUAACACGUGGGUAACCUACCUAUAAGACUGGGAUAACUUCGGGAAACCGGAGCUAAUACCGGAUAACAUUUGGAACCGCAUGGUUCUAAAGUGAAAGAUGGUUUUGCUAUCACUUAUAGAUGGACCCGCGCCGUAUUAGCUAGUUGGUAAGGUAACGGCUUACCAAGGCAACGAUACGUAGCCGACCUGAGAGGGUGAUCGGCCACACUGGAACUGAGACACGGUCCAGACUCCUACGGGAGGCAGCAGUAGGGAAUCUUCCGCAAUGGGCGAAAGCCUGACGGAGCAACGCCGCGUGAGUGAUGAAGGGUUUCGGCUCGUAAAACUCUGUUAUUAGGGAAGAACAAACGUGUAAGUAACUGUGCACGUCUUGACGGUACCUAAUCAGAAAGCCACGGCUAACUACGUGCCAGCAGCCGCGGUAAUACGUAGGUGGCAAGCGUUAUCCGGAAUUAUUGGGCGUAAAGCGCGCGUAGGCGGUUUCUUAAGUCUGAUGUGAAAGCCCACGGCUCAACCGUGGAGGGUCAUUGGAAACUGGGAAACUUGAGUGCAGAAGAGGAAAGUGGAAUUCCAUGUGUAGCGGUGAAAUGCGCAGAGAUAUGGAGGAACACCAGUGGCGAAGGCGACUUUCUGGUCUGUAACUGACGCUGAUGUGCGAAAGCGUGGGGAUCAAACAGGAUUAGAUACCCUGGUAGUCCACGCCGUAAACGAUGAGUGCUAAGUGUUAGGGGGUUUCCGCCCCUUAGUGCUGCAGCUAACGCAUUAAGCACUCCGCCUGGGGAGUACGACCGCAAGGUUGAAACUCAAAGGAAUUGACGGGGACCCGCACAAGCGGUGGAGCAUGUGGUUUAAUUCGAAGCAACGCGAAGAACCUUACCAAAUCUUGACAUCCUUUGAAAACUCUAGAGAUAGAGCCUUCCCCUUCGGGGGACAAAGUGACAGGUGGUGCAUGGUUGUCGUCAGCUCGUGUCGUGAGAUGUUGGGUUAAGUCCCGCAACGAGCGCAACCCUUAAGCUUAGUUGCCAUCAUUAAGUUGGGCACUCUAGGUUGACUGCCGGUGACAAACCGGAGGAAGGUGGGGAUGACGUCAAAUCAUCAUGCCCCUUAUGAUUUGGGCUACACACGUGCUACAAUGGACAAUACAAAGGGCAGCUAAACCGCGAGGUCAUGCAAAUCCCAUAAAGUUGUUCUCAGUUCGGAUUGUAGUCUGCAACUCGACUACAUGAAGCUGGAAUCGCUAGUAAUCGUAGAUCAGCAUGCUACGGUGAAUACGUUCCCGGGUCUUGUACACACCGCCCGUCACACCACGAGAGUUUGUAACACCCGAAGCCGGUGGAGUAACCAUUUAUGGAGCUAGCCGU